rnacentral:rRNA from 1 species
UAUACGACCGUACCGCAAACCGACACUGGUGCGCGAGAUGAGUAUUCUAAGGCGCUUGAGAGAACUCAGGAGAAGGAACUCGGCAAAUUGACACCGUAACUUCGGAAGAAGGUGUGCCCUAUUAGUGUGUAGUGAUCAACGAAGCAUGAAUGGGUUGCAAAAAAUCGGUGGCUGCGACUGUUUAUUAAAAACACAGCACUCUGCAAACACGAAAGUGGACGUAUAGGGUGUGACGCCUGCCCGGUGCUGGAAGAUUAAAUGAUGGGGUGCAAGCUCUUGAUUGAAGUCCCAGUAAACGGCGGCCGUAACAAUAACGGUCCUAAGGUAGCGAAAUUCCUUGUCGGGUAAGUUCCGACCUGCACGAAUGGCGUAACGAUGGCCACACUGUCUCCUCCUGAGACUCAGCGAAGUUGAAAUGUUUGUGAUGAUGCAAUCUCCCCGCGGAAAGACGGAAAGACCCCAUGAACCUUUACUGUAGCUUUGUAUUGGACUUUGAACAGAUCUGUGUAGGAUAGGUGGGAGGCUUUGAAGCAGGGUCGCUAGAUCUUGUGGAGCCAACGUUGAAAUACCACCCUGGUGUGUUUGAGGUUCUAACCUAGGUCCAUUAUCUGGAUCGGGGACAGUGCAUGGUAGGCAGUUUGACUGGGGCGGUCUCCUCCCAAAGCGUAACGGAGGAGCUCGAAGGUACGCUAGUUACGGUCGGACAUCGUGACGAUAGUGCAAUGGCAUAAGCGUGCUUAACUGCGAGACUGACAAGUCGAGCAGAUGCGAAAGCAGGACAUAGUGAUCCGGUGGUUCUGUAUGGAAGGGCCAUCGCUCAACGGAUAAAAGGUACUCUGGGGAUAACAGGCUGAUACCGCCCAAGAGUUCAUAUCGACGGCGGUGUUUGGCACCUCGAUGUCGGCUCAUCUCAUCCUGGGGCUGUAGCCGGUCCCAAGGGUAUGGCUGUUCGCCAUUUAAAGAGGUACGUGAGCUGGGUUUAAAACGUCGUGAGACAGUUUGGUCCCUAUCUUCCGUGGGCGCUGCAGAUUUGAGGAAGCCUGCUCCUAGUACGAGAGGACCGGAGUGGACACACCUCUGGUGUAUCGGUUGUCACGCCAGUGGCAUUGCCGAGUAGCUAAGUGUGGAAGAGAUAACCGCUGAAAGCAUCUAAGCGGGAAACUCGUUUCAAGAUGAGAUCUGCCGGGGCCUUGAGCCCCCUAAAGAGUCGU